rnacentral:rRNA from 1 species
AAAGCCUGUCUCAGUUCGGAUUGGAGUCUGCAACCCGACUCCAUGAAGCUGGAUUCGCUAGUAAUCGCGCAUCAGCCACGGCGCGGUGAAUACGUUCCCGGGCCUUGUACACACCGCCCGUCAAGCCAUGGAAGCCGGGGGUGCCUGAAGUGCGCUGCCGCAAGGAGCGCCCUAGGGUAAAACCGGUGACUGGGGCUAAGUCGUAACAAGGUAUC